rnacentral:rRNA from 1 species
AACGAACGCUGGCGGCAGGCUUAACACAUGCAAGUCGAGCGCCCCGCAAGGGGAGCGGCAGACGGGUGAGUAACGCGUGGGAACCUACCGAGCCCUACGGAAUAGCUCCGGGAAACUGGAAUUAAUACCGUAUACGCCCUACGGGGGAAAGAUUUAUCGGGGUUUGAUGAGCCCGCGUUGGAUUAGCUAGUUGGUGGGGUAAAGGCCUACCAAGGCGACGAUCCAUAGCUGGUCUGAGAGGAUGAUCAGCCACAUUGGGACUGAGACACGGCCCAAACUCCUACGGGAGGCAGCAGUGGGGAAUAUUGGACAAUGGGCGCAAGCCUGAUCCAGCCAUGCCGCGUGAGUGAUGAAGGCCUUAGGGUUGUAAAGCUCUUUCACCGGAGAAGAUAAUGACGGUAUCCGGAGAAGAAGCCCCGGCUAACUUCGUGCCAGCCGCCGCCGUAACAC